GGCUACACAUGCAGUCGACGGGAACCCUUGGAUUCGUCUGAAGGUGAGAGUGGCGAACGGGUGAGUAACACGUUGGUGACCUGCCCCAGAGAGGGGGAUAACCACUGGAAACGGUGGCUAAUACCCCAGAUGUCAUUGUUGUUAGAGAGCAAUGACUAAAGCUCCGGCGCUCUGGGAGGGGCCUGCGGCCCAUCAGCUAGUUGGUAAGGUAACGGCUUACCAAGGCAAAGACGGGUAGGGGGCGUGAGAGCGUGACCCCCCACACUGGUACUGACACACGGACCAGAUACCUACGGGUAGCAGCAGCAAGGAAUAUUGCCCAAUGGACGAAAGUCUGAGGCAGCAACGCCGCGUGGAGGAUGAAGGCCUUCGGGUUGUAAACUCCUUUUAUGGGGGAAGGGAAAGGACGGUACCCCAUGAAUAAGUCUCGGCUAACUACGUGCCAGCAGCCGCGGUAAAACGUAGGAGGCGAGCGUUAUCCGGAUUUACUGGGCGUAAAGCGCGUGCAGGCGGUUUUUCUAAGUCGGACGUGAAAGCUCUCGGCUCAACUGGGAGAGGUCGUUCGAAACUAGGAAACUUGAGGGUGGUAGAGGAGAGUGGAAUUCCCGGUGUAGUGGUGAAAUGCGUAGAUAUCGGGAGGAACACCAGUGGCCGAGGCGGCUCUCUGGGCCAUUCCUGACGCUAAGACGCGAAAGCUAGGGGAGAGAACGGGAUUAGAAACCCCGGUAUUCCUAGCCGUAAACGAUGUCAACUAGGUGUAGGGGGUAUCCGACCCCCCUGUGCUGCAGCUACGCGUAGUGGACGGCUGCGACUACCGCGCAUGCUAAACUCAAGUAUUGAGGCUACACAUGGCUACACAUAACCUGGU
rnacentral:rRNA from 1 species